CCUACGGGAGGCUGCAGUGGGGAAUAUUGGACAAUGGGGGCAACCCUGAUCCAGCCAUGCCGCGUGUGUGAAGAAGGCCCUCGGGUUGUAAAGCACUUUCAGUGAGGAAGAACGCCUGGUGGUUAAUACCCAUCAGGAAAGACAUCACUCACAGAAGAAGCACCGGCUAACUCCGUGCCAGCAGCCGCGGUAAUACGGAGGGUGCGAGCGUUAAUCGGAAUUACUGGGCGUAAAGCGCGCGUAGGUGGCUUGAUAAGCCGGUUGUGAAAGCCCCGGGCUCAACCUGGGAACGGCAUCCGGAACUGUCAAGCUAGAGUGCAGGAGAGGAAGGUAGAAUUCCCGGUGUAGCGGUGAAAUGCGUAGAGAUCGGGAGGAAUACCAGUGGCGAAGGCGGCUUUCUGGACUGACACUGACACUGAGGUGCGAAAGCGUGGGUAGCAAACAGGAUUAGAUACCCUUGUAGUC
rnacentral:rRNA from 1 species